rnacentral:rRNA from 1 species
UACGUAGGAGGCAAGCGUUGUCCGGAAUUACUGGGCGUAAAGCGCGUGUAGGUGGUGGGACAAGUCUGCUGUGAAAGCGCCUGGCUUAACCGGGCGAGGUCGGCGGAAACUGUUCGACUCGAGGACGGUAGAGGGGGGUGGAAUUCCCGGUGUAGUGGUGAAAUGCGUAGAGAUCGGGAGGAACACCUGUGGCGAAGGCGGCCCCCCUGGGCCGGCCCUGACACUGAGACGCGAAGGCGUGGGGGAGCGAACGGGG